rnacentral:tRNA from 1 species
GCCUGGGUGGUUCAGUUGGUUGAGCAUCCGACUUCGGCUCAGGUCAUGAUCUCACGGUUCGCGGGUUCAAGCCCUGCAUCAGGCU